rnacentral:ncRNA from 1 species
GUCCGCUUCUCCGCUUGCACCCGUACGGGUGGGCUACGGCCUUUGAGGCAAGGGAAGCUCCACUUCAAAGAGGC